UGAUUGACGGUGCUUGCACCUGAUUGAUUUCGGUCGCCAACGAGUGGCGGACGGGUGAGUAACACGUAGGUAACCUGCCCAGAAGCGGGGGACAACAUUUGGAAACAGAUGCUAAUACCGCAUAACAACGUUGUUCGCAUGAACAACGCUUAAAAGAUGGCUUCUCGCUAUCACUUCUGGAUGGACCUGCGGUGCAUUAGCUUGUUGGUGGGGUAACGGCCUACCAAGGCGAUGAUGCAUAGCCGAGUUGAGAGACUGAUCGGCCACAAUGGGACUGAGACACGGCCCAUACUCCUACGGGAGGCAGCAGUAGGGAAUCUUCCACAAUGGGCGCAAGCCUGAUGGAGCAACACCGCGUGAGUGAAGAAGGGUUUCGGCUCGUAAAGCUCUGUUGUUAAAGAAGAACACGUAUGAGAGUAACUGUUCAUACGUUGACGGUAUUUAACCAGAAAGUCACGGCUAACUACGUGCCAGCAGCCGCGGUAAUACGUAGGUGGCAAGCGUUAUCCGGAUUUAUUGGGCGUAAAGAGAGUGCAGGCGGUUUUCUAAGUCUGAUGUGAAAGCCUUCGGCUUAACCGGAGAAGUGCAUCGGAAACUGGAUAACUUGAGUGCAGAAGAGGGUAGUGGAACUCCAUGUGUAGCGGUGGAAUGCGUAGAUAUAUGGAAGAACACCAGUGGCGAAGGCGGCUACCUGGUCUGCAACUGACGCUGAGACUCGAAAGCAUGGGUAGCGAACAGGAUUAGAUACCCUGGUAGUCCAUGCCGUAAACGAUGAGUGCUAGGGGUUGGAGGGUUUCCGCCCUUCAGUG
rnacentral:rRNA from 1 species